rnacentral:rRNA from 1 species
GAGUUUGAUCCUGGCUCAGGAUGAACGCUAGCGACAGGCUUAACACAUGCAAGUCGAGGGGCAGCGGGGAGCAAGCUUGCUUGCUCUGCCGGCGACCGGCGCACGGGUGAGUAACACGUAUGCAACCUGCCCUCCGCAGGGGGAUAACCCGGAGAAAUCCGGACUAAUACCGCGUGGUACACCGGUGGGGCAUCCCACAGGUGUUAAAAGGAAGUGAUUCCGGCGGAGGAUGGGCAUGCGGCGCAUUAACUAGUUGGCGGGGUAACGGCCCACCAAGGCGACGAUGCGUAGGGGUUCUGAGAGGAAGGUCCCCCACACUGGUACUGAGACACGGCCCAAACUCCUACGGGAGGCAGCAGUGGGGAAUAUUGGACAAUGGGGGGAACCCUGAUCCAGCGACGCCGCGUGAGUGAAGAAGUAUCUCGGUAUGUAAAGCUCUAUCAGCAGGGAAGAAAGAAAUGACGGUACCUGACCAAGAAGCCCCGGCUAACUACGUGCCAGCAGCCGCGGUAAUACGUAGGGGGCAAGCGUUAUCCGGAUUUACUGGGUGUAAAGGGAGCGUAGACGGUAAUGCAAGUCUGGAGUGAAAUGCAGGGGCUCAACCCCUGAACUGCUUUGGAAACUGUAUGACUGGAGUGCAGGAGAGGUAAGUGGAAUUCCUAGUGUAGCGGUG